rnacentral:rRNA from 1 species
UACGUAGGGUGCAAGCGUUGUCCGGAAUUAUUGGGCGUAAAGAGCUCGUAGGCGGCUUGUCGCGUCGACCGUGAAACCUCACAGCUCAACUGUGAGCCUGCGGUCGAUACGGGCAGGCUAGAGUUCGGUAGGGGAGACUGGAAUUCCUGGUGUAGCGGUGAAAUGCGCAGAUAUCGAGAGGAACACCUGCGGCGAAGGCGGGUAGCUGGGCCGACACUGACGCUGAGGCGCGAAAGCCAGGGGAGCGAACGGG